UGGGGAAUAUUGGACAAUGGAGGAAACUCUGAUCCAGCAAUUCUGUGUGUGUGAAGAAGGUUUUAGGACUGUAAAACACUUUUAGUAGGGAAGAAAAAAAUGACGGUACCUACAGAAGAAGCGACGGCUAAAUACGUUCCAGCAGCCGCGGUAAUACGUAUGUCGCGAGCGUUAUCCGGAAUUAUUGGGCUUAAAGAGCAUCUAGGCGGUUAAACAAGUUGAAGGUGAAAACCUGUGGCUCAACCAUAGGCUUGCCUACAAAACUGUAUAACUAGAGUACUGGAAAGGUGGGUGGAACUACACGAGUAGAGGUGAAAUUCGUAGAUAUGUGUAGGAAUGCCGAUGAUGAAGAUAACUCACUGGACAGCAACAGACGCUGAAGUGCGAAAGCUAGGGGAGCAAACAGG
rnacentral:rRNA from 1 species